rnacentral:lncRNA from 1 species
UGGCAAUUUCCAUUAAUUCACAAAUGGUGGAUUAAAAUGGAAUAUUUCUAAGAUAAAAGAAUGGAAUCUCUGAGCCCUUUAUUCUGUGUCACAACUUAAUGUUCUGGGGUGGGUACAUGGAGGCUCUUGCCUGAGCAGAAUGCCUGAACACUCAGGUCUUAUUUUACUAUCGGUUGAAAAGGUCAGCAUUUGUAUAUCAUGUUUAUUUUGUGAUCUCUUUUUAAAAUAGAAUUUAAAAGUUGUGUUAUGUGUACAAACAUAUGAUGUAUGUUUUGAAAAACUGCAAGCAUAUC